rnacentral:rRNA from 1 species
AGCGAACGCUGGCGGCAUGCCUAACACAUGCAAGUCGCGCGGUCAGCAAUGGCAGCGGCGGACGGGUGCGUAACGCGUAGGAACGUGUCUAGAGGUGGGGGACAACCCUGGGAAACUGGGGCUAAUACCGCAUAUGGGCUGAGGCCCAAAGCCGUGAGGCGCCUUUGGAGCGGCCUGCGUCCGAUUAGCUAGUUGGUGGGGUAAAGGCCUACCAAGGCUCCGAUCGGUAGCUGGUCUGAGAGGACGAUCAGCCACACUGGGACUGAGACACGGCCCAGACUCCUACGGGAGGCAGCAGUGGGGAAUAUUGGACAAUGGGCGCAAGCCUGAUCCAGCAAUGCCGCGUGGGUGAAGAAGGUCUUCGGAUCGUAAAGCCCUUUCGACAGGGACGAU